GCUUUUCCUUGUGUUUUUAAAUAUUCAUUUAUUUUGCUUUCCAUAUAUGAAUAUUUUCCCUACAUGUAUGUGUAUCUCAUGAAUGUCUAUGUCCAUGCAGGGUUGAAGAGUGUUGCAGGUCACUUGGAACCGGAGUUACAUUGAUUAUGGAGUUACCAUGUGGGUGCUGGGAGCCAAACCUAGGUCUUCUGUGAGACUAGCAAGUGCCUUUGAAUGCUGAGCCAUCUCAUUAGGUCCAACCCUAAAGAUCCUUGCCUGCCACUAUUUCUGUGAUCUCAAUGUUUUGUUUUCUCCUGACUUCUGACACCAAGCUGAU
rnacentral:lncRNA from 1 species